rnacentral:rRNA from 1 species
GUGGGGGAUAUUGCACAAUGGAGGAAACUCUGAUGCAGCGACGCCGCGUGAGUGAAGAAGUAUUUCGGUAUGUAAAGCUCUAUCAGCAGGGAAGAUAAUGACAGUACCUGACUAAGAAGCCCCGGCUAACUACGUGCCAGCAGCCGCGGUAAUACGUAGGGGGCAAGCGUUAUCCGGAUUUACUGGGUGUAAAGGGAGCGUAGACGGAAUGGCAAGUCUGAAGUGAAAUCCUGCGGCUUAACUGCAGAAUUGCUUUGGAAACUGUCAAUCUGGAGUGUUGGAGAGGUAAGCGGAAUUCCUGGUGUAGCGGUGAAAUGCGUAGAUAUCAGGAAGAACACCGGAGGCGAAGGCGACUUUCUGGACGAUGUCUGACGCUGAGGCGCGAAAGCUAGGGGAGCGAACGGGAUUAGAUACCCUUGUAGUCC